AGGAGCCUGGGAGAUUACUUUCCAUGCCCUGAUGCUCUGUCAUGUGAUCCAAGCUACUGUUGCUUUGUGCCCAUUUACGUCAUUUCUACACAAAGGUCUCUUUCUUCCUAGGAUACAUAUGGGUCUUUCCAACCCCCCAAAAGGAAUCUGACAGACAUGAGGAUCUACUCCCUCCGUACUGUGGAGACUUUAGUGGAGUGCUCUGCUUGUCUUACUGUCCCUUCUCUUACAACAUCUCUCUACCCAGGAGUCUUCCUCAGUUCCUCAUCUAAACAGGCUCCUGGUGGAUCCACCCAGCAGCCUGCAAAGCACGUACACACAUCUGAAAUGCUGCAGAGAAUGCGGCCUCCACUUGUUCUGGAAUCUCUACUCCAGAGGAAUUGGCAAACUGUUCUUUUCUCUGUGUACACAGACACAUAUUCUUCUAACGCCAGGAGAGUACAGUACUGGAGUGGCAAAACUUAACGAAUCAAGUCUUUGGACUGACAUCUAUAGUAGCACCUGCUGGCAGCUGGAAGUGACACUGCUGUAAACCUUCCACCCCUGGCUUUUUCCAUGGACAAAAUUUAGAAAUACAUGCUUCCUUAAAAAAAAAAAAAGAGUUAAGCCACCAAGUCUUGCCUGUUCAAGCUAAGAGAAUUACACAAGAGCAUAAAUAUCAGAUGAGGACCAUUGAGGCCCAUCUCAGAGGCCUACUAUAGUCUGCAAGACAGGAAAAGCUUUGGAUCAAAGAAAUCAUCCAGAAUUACUGGAACUCUUCGUUUUUGAUCCCAUCAUCUUUCCUGUGGACAAUGACAUCACAUUCCAGGGAAGCUGGCGACGUCUGUGCUUACCAAGUAUCCUCAGCAUGCAGCAAAGCAUCAGCGCAUGAGUAGCCUCCCAACACAUAUUUGCUGAAUGAAUGAGUAAAUUACUUUUUAUUCUAUGACCUUAUUUUCUAAACAAAGAGAGUGAAUACUGUGUUUUUUGUUUUUUUUUUUACUGCUUCCCGGCGGUUUAGGUCUUAGGCUUUAGGGCAACAGCCAAAAUUUUUGAUUUAAUGAAGAUGCACCUUUCAUAACUGCUGUGCUAGCUUGUGUUCACCAGUUGCAGGGGCAUUUAGAGAUUUGGAGGAAGGCGAUUCCCUCCUCCCCUUUUUCUAGCAUUGCCAGUAAUGUGCUUGACCAGCUGUGCAACGCUGUUGAUGUGUACUGAAAUGCCUUUCUGAAAAGCACAGGUGAUCAUAUUACACCCUAAUGCCUGAGAUCUGAUUACUCUUAUUAUAGUAGCCUGCAAAGUUACAAAUGUCAUUAGUGGUCAUUAAAUUACUCUGCUUGGCUUUCUCAAAGGAGCUCUGGUGUUUGACUCAGCGGUCUCUCCUGGCUGUAAAUUCCACAAUUUGAACAUACAUUUUCAUGGGGCUGUGUAUUCUUUGACAGAUUCUAUGUGUUAUUGCUCUGAAAAUGAGUCUCAGUAACGAAAGCAGAGCCUGAAUCCAAGAAUUUGAAUGGAAAUUCAUGGAAAUCCAAAUCUUGGAAUUAAGUGUGUGUGAGUAUUGGCAUGCCCAAAUUGUCUUCUCUACCCCAACUACUACCCCCUUCUUUUUUUGCUGUGUUCAAGCAAUUUAAUUCUGCAUCUAAUUUUAAUCUGUAAACCAUAUCCCUUUCUGCAGUUGCAAAGCAUGUGUUAGCACUUAACCAGCAGGAGGGGGUUGCCUAAGGUAAGAGGAUUGAUAGCAUAGACCAGGCAUCUUAAAAAUGGCUUUGUGUGAUUUGGCGCCACAAGCUAAAGCUUUAUGUUCAUGGGUCCAAGCUGUCUGUCAGGGGCUUAGAGAGACUCAGGCAGUGAACACAGUGGAAUCUUUUAUUUCUCUAAUUUGGUGUUGAUUUUUCAGAAAAAUUUGCAUUGGUUGGGGGAGGCAAUUUAAGGGACUCUGAAGGUAUUUACAAUCUGAUUUCUUAGAGCAGGAAGAACGAUGAAUUUUUCUAAAGAGGUUGGGGGCGUGACAUGGAAAAUAUGAUUAAAGCUUACUAAAAUUGUAUCAGAAUUUUAUGGCAUCGUGUAAAAUAAAAGAAUAUUUAAGUAUACAAGUUUGGCUGCUAAAUAAAUACUAGUUCUUACUAGCUGUAAUUUAUAGUUUUGGAAACCUAAGAAAAAUUGGUUUAUAUCUAAAAGUUAUUAUUACCUAUGGGGAAGGGGGAAAGUUAAGUUUUUAAGUCAGCAUCUAGGAUUAAAAUUAUGUAUAUGCUAAAACAACCCUUGAAAAUCCUUAAAACACCCAUAAAGUGCUAACCAUGCAUUUCAUUUGUGGUCAUUAGUAGGAAAACUUAAAAUCAUUUCCAGAACCUUUCCAUAGAUUUCCUCUUACUUGCAUUAACCUUUUCAGGUUUUAUUGUGUCCAUUAUUUAGUAUAAGCAAUGAAACCAGCAAGGGUGAAGCUCUGAGGGUAAAUACUGUAUUCCACUGAUUUUAAGAUGUAUAUUUUUCAUGCUAUUAACUCUCUGAAACUGAGAUGUGUCCUAACAUUGAUGACAAGCUUUAAGAUUAUAAUGGUCAGGGUUUUCUGCUUGUUCCUUUGUUUUGUUUCUUUCUUAGUAGAUCAUGAAAUGAUGGAUCAUCUUGCCAUUAUGUCUUAGAUUUAAAGAAAUACAGUGUUAAGUUCACAUAUGAUGAAUAAGUAAGUAAAUGCUGCGACUCCACUCUGCAGACUAGAACUGGAGGCCCUGGGUGUGCAUGUAUUCUCCGAGACAAUCAUUGCCACAAGUGGCCGUCAAGUUGAUUCUGACUCAUGGUGACCCUGUGUGUUGUAGAGUAGAACUUUGCUCCAUAGGGUUUUUGUGGCUGAGAUCUUUCAGAAGCAGAUAGUCAGGCCUUUCUUCCAAGGCACCUCUGGGUAGGUUCGAGCUGCCAGUGUUUCAGUUAGUAGCUGAGCACUUAACCAUUUGUGCUUCCCAGGGACUCCUAGAGAUCCAAGAGUCAGGUUUGGCAUAUAGCAUCUUUCCUGAAGCAUGUGAUUAUAUUGAUCAGUUGCUGAAGACACUGCCUGAUGAAUAAGCAUGUCCCUGACUCAUUCAUUCAACUAACAUUUAUUGAGCUCCUCUCAUGUACUUGACCUUGUACCUCAUGCCAGGUACAGAGCGGCAAACAAAACAGGCAAAGCCUCUGCCUUAAUGAGCUUACUUUCUCUGAUAAACAAGAAAAUAAAUAAAUAAAUAACAAUUCUCAAAUCACUUACCUUCUACUUUCAUCUUUCCAAAUAUGUAGUCUAGGGAUAUAUAUCUUCUUUUCAGAUCAUGUCUUUACAUUUUACUUAAACCCCAGUAAAAGAUAAUGAGGCAAGGUUUUGUUUUGAAAUGAAUAUGCUAAUUUUUAUUUUCUUAGAAAUAGUUAUUCAAAAGGCAGUAUAGUUUUAGCAUCAAGCUAGCCUCCCUCUACCAGUUCUGUAACAUUAAACAUAUUCUUUUUGUCUCAUCCCAAUCUAAAAUACAGACAGCGUUUCCUUCCUUAAUGGUUCUUGCAAGGAGUAAAGAAGUCAGUGGAGCUCCAUAAAGUACAUGGUAGUUACAUCUUACUUCAUGUCUCUCUACAACUGACCAACAGUUAAGGAUCAUUUGUGAUGUGGUUUUUUGGAACCAGGACCUACAGUCAUUUAGGUGUGUUUUGGCAGCAGACAACAAAACAAAGCAAAGCAAAAUAGGAGAAAACUUUUAAAUAAGUUUAAAAAAAUAGAAAAAUUUAGUUACAAAUCAAAGGAAGUCCUUAAGUAAAUGAGUUAUGAGAGAAUGCACAAAAUAAAGUAAAAAUUGGAUUAGCCCUUCUUUCCAAACUAUCUACAGAAGGAAAAUUAUUUGUUAAAUUUGCCCACUUUGUAAGGUAAUAAUUUCUUGAAAUAUAUGAAAUAAUUACAAUUUUUCAUAUAUUUUUCUUUUGAUAUCUUGAUGUACCAGUUGAAUGAUGACUGCCUAACACUACCUAAUCACACUUGCUAGAAUAUGACUUCUAUCCUACUUCCUCCUAUCUUACAUUUUAAAAUUGAGAAAGUUAUAGAAAUAAUAAUUUAGUCAUUGUAUCAUCUAUUUCAUAUAAUAACAGCAUGUGUACAUUGUGGAAAACUAAAAGCAAUGUUCAAGACUAGUUAAUUGUAUUUUUUUAAAUGACUUCUGUUAGUAAUGCAAACAUACGUGCAUGAAAAUUAUGCUAUUGAAAAGGAUUUUCAUGAAUGAAGAGUAUGUCAUUUGAUAUAAAGCACUCCUAAAUUCCUUCAGAAGAAAUACAAAUGUUUAGAGUUAAUAAUUUACUUAAAAUUUCAAACGACCUCAUUCUUAUAUUUAUCUUACUGUACCUUAAGGUUUGGGACCUUAAUUUAUUUCAGGUUUUGGACUAAGAGGAAGUUAAAUAAAACACUUUAAUAAAGCAUCUGUUAUACCUGAUAAUAGAUAGGGAGUUAGCGAUGAAACUGUUGGAAUAGUCCAGGUCAGAAAUAAUGAGUUUCUGAACUAAGGCAGUAGAAAUACACAGAAAGAGGCACUGAGCAUAACGAGAAGUGAGCAUCUUUAGGACUCAGUGAGUAUAAACGCAGAAAAAAGCUGGAAGCAAGAGGGAGGAGCGUGAAAUGACUCCAGGGUUACUGCCUUUGAUUGCAAGUGUAUGAAAAGUAUUAGCUCCUGGGGAGAAAGAUGAUGAGUUAAUUGUGGUCAUGGAUAUGCUUGGUUCAUGGCAGAACAGAUUAAUAGAUUUGAGGUAUAUAGACCAGCGAUGGGGAGCCCUGGUGGGGCAGUGGUUAAAGUUCUCGACUGCUAACCAAAAGGUCCACAAUUUGAACCCACCACUGGCUCCAUAGGAGAAAGAUGUGGCAGUCUGCUUCCAUAAAGAUUACAGCCUUGGAAAUCCUAUGGGACAGUUCUACCGUCCUAUAGGGUCACUAACCCGCUUGUUGGCAGUGGGUUUUGGUUUGGUAGACCAGAGAUAAGACUUGAGCAUCAGCAAUGUCUAAGUAGCUGCAAAAAUCACGCGCGUGCUUGAGAUUCCUUCAAAGAUUUUGAAGUGUGAGAAAAGAAGAAAGCCCGAAAGCCAAAUAUGUGCCUGUAGAAAACUGGUGUUGAGAGAUUGGGCAGAUUAAGAGAAGCCUCUAAAAAGGAAGAAAGGAAGUCACUGCUAUAAAGGCAAAAAGAAAUCCAAAUGAAUAGGGUAAAAAAGUCAGUGGAGAUUAGGACUCAAAGAAGGAAGAAGUGCACAAUAGGGUCAGACAUCAAGCAGAGUUCCAGUAGGAAAACUGGCAGAAAAGUGUGGUUUGUAUUUGGCAGUAUGGAGCUCACUGAUGAUUUGGUCAAGAGCAGUUCCAACAGAUUAAUGUUAUUCAUGAGUGGGAGAGAGGAAUGACAGAAGAAGCCAAAUUUCACGUUAACUGUAACUGGGGAGAAAAAAUGGAAAGUCAACAAAUGUAGACAGUGCUUGCAAGCUACCACAUACUAGUUCCAAAAUCUCAGCUUCCAAAGGAAGGAAAGAAAUAGGAUGAUGAGCUAGGCUAUGAGAGUGAGUACAGUGUUGGUUUUCCUUACAUUUCAUUUGGUUUCUAUUUGAGAAGAGAGAAAAUGGAAUCUCCUUAUGGGUUUAAAUAGAAAGAACCAAUAGGAUGAGAAAAGAGGAGAGGGCUAUCACAGAGGAAGACAUGACCUGAAGAAGGCAGGAGGAAGUGAGAUAACUAUGGGGCCUGAAGACAGUAGGCUGUACACUAGGAAUUAGAAGGAGCAAUCAGGUUGACCAAAGCUUCACAAUAAAAAAAGAGGCCAGUUCAUCUGCUGAAAGUGGAGUGGUGGAGAGUGGAGAGGAUCACUUGAGGAAAGAGGUAAAAGUUUGGACGAACUACUGGGGAAUAGGGUGAAAGAAUUGCUAGAUGAGAGUUGAGGGCACCAAGGAUUUUGGAAGACAUUAAAACGAAUUGUUAAGAAUUGAAUUGUGUCCCCCAAAUAGGUGUUGGAAUCCUAAAUCCUAUACCUGUGGAUAUAAUCCUGUUUGAGAAUAGGGUUUUCUUUGUUAUGUUAAUAAGCCCAUUUUUUUAGCAUAGGGAGUGUCCUAAACCUAGUCACUUCUGAAUUACAAAAAGAGCAGAUAAGACACAGAAGAAAAAAAAAAGACACAGAAGCUAGCACAAAUUAGGGUAAAACAGAUGCCAUGUGAGAAUAACCAAGAAAAUAAGGAAUGAUCGUAGCUAUUUCCAGGAAUUUUCUCCCAGAGCCAAAGGCUUGAAUUAGGAUUUCUAACCUCCUGAACUGUGAAAAAAUAAAUUUCUGUCCUUUAAAAUCUACUCAGUUGUGGGUUUUGUAUUACAGCAGACCUAAGUAACAAAGGGAAACCCUGAUGGUGUAGUGGUUAAGAGCUACGGCUGCUAACCGAAAGGUCAGCCUUUCAAAUCCAACAGGUGCUCCUUGGAAACUCUAUGGGGCACUUCUGCUCUGUCCUAUAGGGUCGCUAUGAGUCAGAAUUGACUCGAGAGCAAUGAGUUUUUUUAAGUAAUGAAGUUAUGUACUAACACCCAUCCGUAUAAUUGUGCGGUUUUUAUUUUGCUUUUUUAGACCCACUGAAGCUGAAAGGACAGUUGUCUUGGAUACAAAAGAAUGAAAAAAAAAAAAAAACAAUCUAGGAUGAUAGGAAGUAAUAGUCAGGAAUACGG